GCAUCACAGGUGUGCACCACCACGCCCGGAUUGAGUUGUGUCACUUUGGAAGCCAAUUAGAGGAAGCACUAGACACAAGACGACAGCAGCUCUGUUCGUCCAGAGCUGUCUUGGGAGAGGGGUACAAUUUCUCCCAGGCUGUGGAAAAGCCCAGAAGCAGGUUUGGCCGGGAGGACGACUCCAAAUCUCAGAGCUCAUGGAGGAGGAGGCUGCGUGGGGACGUGCUGCGUGGGGACGUGCUGCGUGGGGACGUCCCGCGUCCGUCAGGGCGGUGAAGAAGUGGAACGUGGCGGUUUCCUCGAGGCGUCGCUACAGUCUCCGUGGGCCUGAGCUUCAAAUUGAUCUGGAUCGAUCUAUCCUCAGACCUUUUCAUCAGGAGAGCAAAAAAGAGAAGCAGGGAGGGGAGGCCGGAGCUCCUCCACACUCCCUCCGUCAGUGGAUGGAGCCGGAGCUCUGGUCACCUUCCUGCUACUGGGACAAGGUAUCACCAAAGCAGAGUCCUGGGUCACUCGGGAAGGGGGCAGUUGGCUGGCUCCAAGGCAGAGACAGCAUGGUGGAGGAAAGCUGCAUAGUGGAUGGAAGUCAAGAAAAAGGUGGAAGCAAGGACAAGAAUAUAUUGAAUCACACUUCCACUGACCUACUCCCUCUGACCAGGCCCUAUUUCCAAGCACAUGAAACUUUGGAGGGAUAAUUAAUUAAUUAAUUAUUAAUCGUUAAUAUUUAUUAUAUUUUACUUAAAGAUUUUUAACAUAAAAAGAAGACACACAAAUCUAGAUUACAUUAUGAUGACCAAGGCAGUAUUCUAUGCAAAAAAAAAGAAUCAAAACAAAACAAAUUUAUAAAGUAAAUGUACUAGUACUGAACAAGUAUAGUAAUUGAUAUUUAAUCCAGGCUGCAUAUGUAUAAGUGAUUUGACCAUAAGCUUAUGCAAAAUAAAUUAUUUCCUAGGACAAAAUAAAUUAUUUCCUAGAUGCUAACCAUUCUGACUGUAAACUACCUUAUUCCACUAGUGAGUAUUUUGAGAGGACUUCUAUAGAAUAUAAAAAUAAAUGAUAUGCAAAAAAUAGAACACAGUUAAAAACAUAUUUGUAAUGCAAUUCUGCAUAAAAUAUACACAGUAAAUCUUACUACUUAAAAAAUUAAAAAAUACAAGACCACCCUGAAUAAGGUUUAAAACCUCAUCAUAGAAAAAUGCUUGUCAUUUGUAUAUCAUUGGUAGAAAACUGGUAAGAUUUUGUUGAUAAAACUGAUUUUGUUGAUAAAACUGAUAAGAUUUUGUUGAGGGGAACAGGGUACAUACCUAAUGAAGUCAUUCAUUUGAAAUCUGUCCAAAAAUGUUCGUGAGGUCGUAACUGGCUGCUUAUACUAUCUUAAAAUAUUUUUACCAUGAAUAUAGUUUCUAUUGUUUCUCAAAAUGAGAUCCAAAGGCCCAAAGGAUUUCUAAUGUGGGCCCAGUAAUAUACAUUAUAAAUAAACUCCUUAUGUGGUUAUUCUAUGUACUGAAAUGCCCUAUGGGAAAGAGCAACACUCAAAGAUCAUGAAUGUAAACAUAUUUUGGACAUGUCAGAACUCAAAUAAAUUUAUACUGUGAAUACUGAUUUUUGUUUUAAAACAAGUU